UUGGAAUAAGCCAGUGCAUUUAGGUUUGAUUUACAGUUCUGGACUAGUUUUGAGUUUGACUCGAGAGAUUCUAGUGCCAGCAGAGCAGCCUGGCUGUCUGAGUUGAUGUAGAUAUGCUGGUGUCUUAGGUUUCUAUCCAGGUUGAUCUCCGCACAUUUGUUGAUGGCGAAGACUUCUGCCUGGAAGAUUGAGGCCUGUGUGCCCAUGCUGACACUAGCUCUGAACUUAGGUCUCUCACCAUAGAUCCCACAUCCUACAUCAUUGCCUUUCUUGGAACCAUCCGUAUACCAAAUAAGGCUUCCCUCUUCGACGAACAUUUGGUCGUUAGUCCAUUUGUCUCUAGGAGGUAUUUCUACUGUGUACAGUUUAGUAAAGUGACAUUGAGUGUGCGUGUCAUCUGUGGGCAUGCUAAGGGUUCUAUUUGCAAAAACCCAGGCCUUUAGUUUGGUUAAUGCUUGAGAGCGCCAUUUUGGCCUGUUUAGCGUGCAGAUUCUGUAGACGCACUGCUUGGCCUCCUUUUGCACCUGCAAGUGGAGUGGUAUAAUAUCCAGCAGUGCAUCUAGGGCCGCUCCCGGUGUCGAGGAGAAGGCGCCUGUUGCUGUUAAACAAGCCGUGCCGUAGGUUAUAAUUGGCCUCACUACAGCUGUGUAUAACCACAUAGCAAUUUUGGGUCUUAUGCCCCAUCUUGCUCCUGCCAUGCGACAGCAUGACCACAUGGCCAUUUUUGCUUUUUGUGUGAUGUUCCUCAGGUGAGGGUUCCAAGUUAACUUUUGGUCGAAGGUGACCCCCAGGUACUUGACCUCGUCUGAGAAUGAUAUUAUUUGUCCAUUAAGUCUUGGUUCUGUGAGCUUUUCGAGCUUGCGUUUUCGUGUGAAUGGUACUAUCACGGUCUUGCUCGGAUUAAUGGACAAGUCAUUUUCUCGACACCAUUUGAAUAUGGUGUUUAGAGCUCCUUGCAUUAGGUUGGAUAUCGUGUGGAGGCAUGGGCCUUUGAUGAUGACUACAAGGUCGUCGGCAUAUCCUUGUGUGUCAUAGUCUUGGCCUGACAUAAUUGCAAGAAGUUGGUCCACUGCUAGGGUCCUUAAGAGUGGGGAUAGAACGCCUCCUUGUGGGCACCCUUUUGUGGUAUAAAAUUCAUGCUCUACAGUAUUGAGGGUUAGAGUGGCUACUCUAUUCGAGAGCAUGCUAUGUACCCAUCUGGUGGUGGUUUCGUCUACUCCCUUUGAUUUCAUACCAUUGAGUAUGGUCUCUGUGGGCGUAUUGUCGAAAGCACCCUCGACAUCAAGGAACGCACAUAGAGC